GCUGACUUAGCACAACUGGCAGUGCAACUCACUUGUAAUGAGUAGGUUGAGAGUUCGAAUCCCUCAGUCAGCACCA
rnacentral:tRNA from 1 species